rnacentral:rRNA from 1 species
UAACAUCCGGAAACGGGUGCUAAUACCGCAUAGUUUUCUUGAUCGGCAUGAUCGGGAAAGGAAAGACGGCCUUUGUGCUGUCGCUUAUGGAUGGACCCGCGGCGUAUUAGUUAGUUGGUGAGGUAACGGCUCACCAAGACGAUGAUACGUAGCCGACCUGAGAGGGUGAUCGGCCACAUUGGGACUGAGACACGGCCCAAACUCCUACGGGAGGCAGCAGUAGGGAAUCUUCCGCAAUGGACGAAAGUCUGACGGAGCAACGCCGCGUGAGUGAAAAGAAGGUUUUUCGGGAUCGUAAAACUCUGUUGUCAGAGAAGAACAAGUUGGAGAGUAACUGCUCCAGCCUUGACGGUAUCUGACCAGAAAGCCACGGCUAACUACGUGCCAGCCGCCGC